rnacentral:rRNA from 1 species
ACGUACACUCCUGCGGGAGGCAGCAGUGGGGAAUAUUGGACAAUGGGCGCAAGCCUGAUCCAGCCAUGCCGCGUGAGUGAUGAAGGCCCUAGGGUUGUAAAGCUCUUUCACCGGAGAAGAUAAUGACGGUAUCCGGAGAAGAAGCCCCGGCUAACUUCGUGCCAGCAGCCGCGGUAAUACGAAGGGGGCUAGCGUUGUUCGGAAUUACUGGGCGUAAAGCGCACGUAGGCGGAUCGAUCAGUCAGGGGUGAAAUCCCAGGGCUCAACCCUGGAACUGCCUUUGAUACUGUCGAUCUGGAGUAUGGAAGAGGUGAGUGGAAUUCCGAGUGUAGAGGUGAAAUUCGUAGAUAUUCGGAGGAACACCAGUGGCGAAGGCGGCUCACUGGUCCAUUACUGACGCUGAGGUGCGAAAGCGUGGGGAGCAAACAGGAUUAGAAACCCCGGUAGUCCCAUGA